AUGAAGGUUCUUGGGUAUGGCCUAACAAGAUAAGCUGGUUAAAUGCCAGCACGGUCCCGCCACUGUGUCAGGGAGCGAUAUCACAAUAUGUCACUGGAGUAUUCUGGGAAGGCGUGAUGGAGCGAUGAUCUGGAGUCAGGAGAACUGCCUGUUUAAC
rnacentral:ncRNA from 1 species